GUGUCAAGAGAACCCCAGAAAUCCUUACUAUUUAAACUAAUGUCAUUAGCUCAUGAUGGGAAACCAACCGUUGCCUAGCGGCAGACACCACAAACUCUUCUCUCACCAGCAGCACACUCACUCUAUUCUUUCCAUUCAAAAAAAUAUUCUGAAUUGAAAAAAAAUUCUGCACUCUCUCUCAUUUUUUUCUCACUUUUCUCUAAUCUCUCUCUAAAAAAAACAUCAGCCGCCCCUAAAGAAACUAGCACCACAUUUUUGGCCGUAUUUCCGUCAUAGAAGCAAACGGAAGUUCACCGGAAAAUCAAGCUCGCUUUCAGAUCCGUUUGCUUUGGAUCUCCUGGUCGAUAGUGUUAGCUGGCAAUAUUGCUGCAAAUGGAGAGAGUAUUGUUGUAUUAGCCGCCAUUAACAUAUGAUGUGUAUUGUUGAAUUUUUUUUUUUUUUUUUUUUGUUAAUCUUUGGUUCUCUUUUAAUUUUUACUAUCAUUCUAGUUCAUAUUGAAAUGCUUGUUGUGUGUUAUAAAUAGUAAGUGAAAUUUAGAGUUUUUGUCUUUUAUGCAAAGUUAAUAAAUUGUAAUCAUGUAUCCGCUCAUGUCUUGUUUUCAUAAAGUGUUAUUAUAUUGUUUUUUUAAGUGCUAGUGAUGCCUAUUGGAGUUUUGGUUAGAACUUCAUUAUGGACUCUUAAGUCAUUUGCCAUGUGCACCUGCUGAAAUUUUCGGUUCAAUUUGUACUAACACUUACGUUGGAUUUUUAAAUCGUUACCAUUCUGUUUCCAUGUAAUUUCUAAAAAAUGUAAGUAUAAUUUUGUGUUGAUGUUGUCUUUUUAUUUUAUUUUA